AGUAGAAUCAUAGAAAAUUAGUGCUGAAAGAGACCUCAGGAGGUCAUCUAGGCCAACUCCCUACUCAAAACAGGACCGUUCCCAACUAUAUUAACCCAGGCAGAGUAGGCCC